ensembl:lncRNA
UGAGUAAAGGAGCAAAGAUCUGUGUGUCCAGUCAGCAGUUCAGAAGUGAGCUGCAGGCUGUGGGGGACUUUUUACGUGUAAUGAUUCUCAGCCCAGCCCUUGGGUUUGAACCUCUAUAUGAGCAUCAGCUUCCUCCCACAGCAGACUUAUCCCAGGGCCUGGGAGUCUGCAGGUGAGGCUCCCUGUAUGGCUUCCUGGAUUGAAGACCUGUUCGUAUGUAUCUUUGUUUUGAAGCAAACUCCUGAAAGGUCACCGCAUCACCCAGGGCAGGGUGUGAGUGGCUUGGUCUCAGAGCCUUCCUGCCUGCUGGAGAACCCGCUCUCUGACCUCUGGCAAAUCCUAUAACCUUGGCAGAGGCCCCGGGGACUUUUGACUCACCUGUCUUGGCUAUAUGGCAUUGUUAAGAGGCCUGAGAAGGAGGAUAAGUAAAGAGCUGGAAAACCAGGAGACAUUCCCACGUGUCCUCAGCUGACUCCGCUAGAGCAGGAGCCUGAACUCCAGAAGAGGAUCCAGUGGCACAGUUGGUUUCUCAUACAACGUCCCAUCCCUCGUCCAGGCUGCUCGGAUCCCACGAGGGCACAGACGGGAACAUGAGGGCAGGUGGAGGGUCUAGGCCGCCGGGGGACCCCGGUGCCCAGCCUCGCCCACUGCUGGAGAGCAGCCCUAGGAGGCGGCCUCCAUAUGCAGCUCUCUGUUCUAAACGCAUCUCUCUGGGCUAAACUUGUGGAAGUUCUUUUUAUUUUUCCUUCUUUUUGCUGGCUCACAGUUUCUCAGUUGAAAAGUGAGUAUAUCCCUGGAAAGGAUUGGAUCCAACCACUGAAUUCAUUUUAAUAAACAUUGAAAUGAGGGAUUAUGAGCUUGCCCA